UAUAUAUCUCGCAUUAUAACAGUAAUAUUGAAAGCUGAUAGACAAUUAUGCAACAAGUGGCACAGUGGGCUACUAAUACUAUACCAUCAAUUUCUUUCAACUUACGUUUUUGAACCUGGGAGAUAUGAGGGCCUGCAAUGGAUUCUUCAUCACCGUUGUAAACUCCUGCUUCUCAGACAGGUCAAUAUCAUCUCCAUCCACAGCUUUCCACUCAAAACUCCAAACCAAAUUAGCUAUAAAAUAUUCCAAAUGAAGCAUUGCUAAGCCAAAGCCAGGGCACAUCCUCCUUCCCGCUCCAAAUGGCAUCAUCCUUAUCUCCCUUCUUCCUGUUAUAUCAAAC
rnacentral:misc_RNA from 1 species